UACGUAGGGUGCGAGCGUUAAUCGGAAUUACUGGGCGUAAAGCGUGCGCAGGCGGUUCGUUAAGUCAGAUGUGAAAGCCCCGGGCUCAACCUGGGAACUGCAUUUGAAACUGGCGGGCUUGAGUGUGGCAGAGGGGGUGAAUUCCGCGUGUAGCAGUGAAAUGCGUAGAGAUGCGGAGGAACACCGAUGGCGAAGGCAGCCCCUGGGCCAACACUGACGCUCAGGCACGAAAGCGUGGGGAGCAAACAGG
rnacentral:rRNA from 1 species